GCCACAAAGACCGGGCCUGCGCUGCCUGC
rnacentral:sRNA from 1 species